ACGGAGGGUGCAAGCGUUAUCCGGAUUCACUGGGUUUAAAGGGUGUGUAGGCGGACUGUUAAGUCAGUGGUGAAAUCUCCGGGCUCAACCCGGAAACUGCCAUUGAUACUAUCAGUCUUGAAUUCUGUUGAGGUGGGCGGAAUACAUCAUGUAGCGGUGAAAUGCUUAGAUAUGAUGUAGAACACCGAUUGCGAAGGCAGCUCACUAAGCAGCGAUUGACGCUGAGGCACGAAAGCGUGGGGAUCAAACAGGA
rnacentral:rRNA from 1 species